rnacentral:rRNA from 1 species
AGAGACAGCAGUCGCCGCGGUAAUACGAAGGGGGCUAGCGUUGUUCGGAUUUACUGGCGUAAAGCGCACGUAGGCGGACUUUUAAGUCAGGGGUGAAAUCCCGGGGCUCAACCCCGGAACUGCCUUUGAUACUGGGAGUCUUGAGUUCGAGAGAGGUGAGUGGAAUUGCGAGUGUAGAGGUGAAAUUCGUAGAUAUUCGCAGGAACACCAGUGGCGAAGGCGGCUCACUGGCUCGAUACUGACGCUGAGAUGCGAAAGCGUGGGGAGCAAACAGGAUUAGAUACCCCAGUAGUCCCUGUCUCUUAUACA